AAAUGUUCCAUGAUAAUGGGUUAGGUAAAUGUUUCAUGAUAAUGGGUUAGGUAAAUGUUUCAUGAUAAGAAUUUCAUGUCUUUUGUAUUAAAGAAUUAAAUGGAUGAAAUAUGAAGUUUUAUUAAAAGAAAAAGGGGUGAAAAGAACAAAGUUUUGUCCAUCUUUGUUCAUCAUAGCUGAAAGUUAGAGAAGAGAAAGGAGAGGAGAAAGCUCUUGAGUAUUUGGUCAUUAGGAGGAGGAAAAUUGAAGGCGGUUCGUGUGUGGAUCUCGUCAGCAUAUCGUUGCAAACAGG